rnacentral:lncRNA from 1 species
CCAAUUUUGCCCGGGUUUAAAAUCCCGAAUUACAAAUGGGCCACAAGGCCCAAACCAAAACAAACAAAGGCCCAAGACAGAUAAUGAAACCCUAGGGUUUUUAAUCUUCAACAGCGCCGCAAGACGAGUCCUCUGGAUCUCCAUGAUCUUCACCUACAAGGAAACAAGCAUAAAGAAAGAAACAAACAGCAUAUGGAAAGAAAAUCAUGGAUUUGCGAAUCAAAGAUAUCAACAGAUUUCUUUCUUUCUUUGAUUUAUUAUCAUGGCUAUAAAAAGCCUUUGAAUACACCGUAAUAUGGGGCGGAUUUGAAAAUAAAUAAAAAACCACAAAUAUUUUCACAAACGACCGAAUACUAAGAGGGUACAAAGAGAAUCAAUCUAAGGUUGAUAUUUCGGGUUUUGUCAUUUAUUUUCUUUUUAUUUUUAUACACUGAUACAAAAGAAAAAAUAAAAGAGAGAAGACUUACCUGGGUUCGGAUCUGCGACGUUGUGGAGACGAUUGAGUGAGCCACCCCCGAGGACCGGUGGCCGGAAGCCGAAAGGUUUCCAAGGCUUAAAGGGUAUUUUUGUUGUUUUUUGAAGGUUUUGUGCCUAGAUCUAGGUUUGGAAGGGUCGAGAGAGCCGAAAAGGUAAGAUUUCCCUUUUCCGGCCACCGCAUACGGCGGUGCCAGAAAUUGGCAACCGGCGCGGUGGCCGGUGACCGACCGAUGACCGGAAUGGAGGCCUGAUAUUGGAUAGGGGAGAGGAUUUUUCGGAAGUUUUUUUUGAGA